CCAACAGGGAUUGCCUUAGUAACGGCGAGUGAAGCGGCAAAAGCUCAAAUUUGAAAUCUAACGCCUCUGGUGUUCGAGUUGUAAUUUGGAGAGGCAUCUUCCGGACUGGCCCAGCCUAUGUACCUUGGAACAGGACGUCAUAGAGGGUGAGAAUCCCGUUCUUGGCUGGAUGUUCACUCCCGUAUGUAGUGUCUUCUACGAGUCGAGUUGUUUGGGAAUGCAGCUCAAAAUGGGUGGUAAAUUUCAUCUAAAGCUAAAUAUUGGCGAGAGACCGAUAGCGCACAAGUAGAGUGAUCGAAAGAUGAAAAGCACUUUGAAAAUAGAGUCAAACAGUACGUGAAAUUGUUGAAAGGGAAGCGCUUGAGACCAGAGUCAGCCUUUGACAAACAAUUGUCCUUCUGGGCGGUGCACUAGUCAUUGGUUGGGCCAGCAUCGGUUGGGACGGUGGGAUAAAGGCUUGGGAAAUGUGACUCCUUUAUGGAGUGUUAUAGUCCCAGGUGCCAU
rnacentral:rRNA from 1 species